rnacentral:rRNA from 1 species
GAUGAACGCUAGCUACAGGCUUAACACAUGCAAGUCGAGGGGAAACGACAUCGAAAGCUUGCUUUUGGUGGGCGUCGACCGGCGCACGGGUGAGUAACGCGUAUCCAACCUGCCCACCACUUGGGGAUAACCUUGCGAAAGUAAGACUAAUACCCAAUGAUAUCCCACGAAGGCAUCCGAAUGGGAUUAAAGAUUUAUCGGUGAUGGAUGGGGAUGCGUCUGAUUAGCUUGUUGGCGGGGUAACGGCCCACCAAGGCAACGAUCAGUAGGGGUUCUGAGAGGAAGGUCCCCCCACAUUGGAACUGAGACACGGUCCAAACUCCUACGGGAGGCAGCCAGUGAGGAAUAUUGGUCAAUGGGCAGAGCCUGAACCAGCCAAGUAGCGUGCAGGAUGACGGCCCUAU